rnacentral:rRNA from 1 species
AUUGAACGCUGGCGGCAUGCCUUACACAUGCAAGUCGAACGGUAACGGGCCUUCGGGUGCCGACGAGUGGCGAACGGGUGAGUAAUGCAUCGGAACGUACCUUUCAGUGGGGGAUAACGUAGCGAAAGUUACGCUAAUACCGCAUAUUCUGUGAGCAGGAAAGCAGGGGAUCGCAAGACCUUGCGCUGAUUGAGCGGCCGAUGUCGGAUUAGCUAGUUGGUGGGGUAAAGGCUCACCAAGGCGACGAUCCGUAGCUGGUCUGAGAGGACGACCAGCCACACUGGAACUGAGACACGGUCCAGACUCCUACGGGAGGCAGCAGUGGGGAAUUUUGGACAAUGGGGGCAACCCUGAUCCAGCCAUUCCGCGUGAGUGAAGAAGGCCUUCGGGUUGGUAAAGACUCUUUCUAGCAGGAACGAAACGGU